AACGAACGCUGGCGGCAUGCCUAACACAUGCAAGUCGAACGAGACCUUCGGGUCUAGUGGCGCACGGGUGCGUAACGCGUGGGAACCUGCCCUUAGGUUCGGAAUAACUCCCCGAAAGGGGUGCUAAUACCGGAUAAUGUCUUCGGACCAAAGAUUUAUCGCCUUUGGAUGGGCCCGCGUUGGAUUAGCUAGUUGGUAGGGUAAAAGCCUACCAAGGCGACGAUCCAUAGCUGGUCUGAGAGGAUGAUCAGCCACACUGGGACUGAGACACGGCCCAGACUCCUACGGGAAGCAGCAGUGGGGAAUAUUGGACAAUGGGCGAUAGCCUGAUCCAGCAAUGCCGCGUGAGUGAUGAAGGCCUUAGGGUUGUAAAGCUCUUUUACCCGGGAUGAUAAUGACAGUACCGGGAGAAUAGGCUCCGGCUAACUCCGUG
rnacentral:rRNA from 1 species